rnacentral:rRNA from 1 species
UACGUAGGGGGCAAGCGUUGUCCGGAAUCAUUGGGCGUAAAGCGCGUGUAGGCGGCUUGGUAAGUCUGCUCUGAAAGCCCGGGGCUCAACCCCGGGAGGCGGGUGGAUACUGUCAAGCUCGAGUCCGGAAGAGGAGUGUGGAAUUCCUGGUGUAGCGGUGAAAUGCGCAGAUAUCAGGAAGAACACCUAUGGCGAAGGCAGCUCUCUGGGACGGUACUGACGCUGAGACGCGAAAGCGUGGGGAGCGAACAGG